rnacentral:rRNA from 1 species
UACGUAGGGAGCGAGCGGUAUCCGGAAUUAUUGGGUGUAAAGGGUGCGUAGACGGGAAGACAAGUUUGUUGUGAAAUCCCUCGGCUUAACUGAGGAACUGCAACCAAAACUAUCAUUCUUGAGUACUGGAGAGGAAAGUGGAAUUCCUAGUGUAGCGGUGAAAUGCGUAGAUAUUAGGAGGAACACCAGUGGCGAAGGCGACUUUCUGGACAGAAACUGACGUUGAGGCACGAAAGUGUGGGGAGCAAACAGG